GAUGAAGAACGUAGCGAAAUGCGAUAAGUAAUGUGAAUUGCAGAAUUCAGUGAAUCAUCGAAUCUUUGAACGCACAUUGCGCCCGCCAGUAUUCUGGCGGGCAUGCCUGUCUGAGCGUCAUUUCAACCCUCAUGCCCCUAGGGCGUGGUGUUGGGGAUCGGCCAAAGCCCGCGAGGGACGGCCGGCCCCUAAAUCUAGUGGCGGACCCGUCGUGGCCUCCUCUGCGAAGUAGUGGUAUUCCGCAUCGGAGAGCGAUGAGCCCCUGCCGUUAAACCCCCAACUUUCCAAGGUUGACCUCAGAUCAGGUAGGAAUACCCGCUGAACUUAAGCAUAUCAAUAAGCGGAGGA
rnacentral:misc_RNA from 1 species